GACGAACGCUGGCGGCGUGCUUAACACAUGCAAGUCGAACGGAAAGGCCCUGCUUUUGUGGGGUGCUCGAGUGGCGAACGGGUGAGUAACACGUGAGUAACCUGCCCUUGUCUUUGGGAUAACUUCAGGAAACUGGGGCUAAUACCGGAUAGGAGCUCCUGCUGCAUGGUGGGGGUUGGAAAGUUUCGGCGGUUGGGGAUGGACUCGCGGCUUAUCAGCUUGUUGGUGGGGUAGUGGCUUACCAAGGCUUUGACGGGUAGCCGGCCUGGGAGGGUGACCGGCGACAUUGGGACUGAGAUACGGCCCAGACGCCUACGGGAGGCAGCAGUGGGGAAUAUUGCGGAAUGGGCGGAAGCCAGAUGCAGCAACGCCGCGUGCGGGAUGACGGCCUUCUGGUUGUAAACCGCUUUCGCCUGUGACGAAGCGGGAGUGACGGUAAUGGGUAAAGAAGCACCGGCUAACUACGUG
rnacentral:rRNA from 1 species